UUGUGUUUGAGUUGGUGUCCUAGAGAGAAAAAUUCAUCACAAAACAUACACAGUCCCUUGGCUUGACGUUCGUGCAUCUCCUGGUAAGAGAACUUCCUUGCAUGUUUAUCAUUAACAUUCCGAGGAAUAGAUGUGGGUUUAGCAGGCGAGGUUUUUGAACUGUCAGGAGAUGGUAACAUUGGUGGUGCAUUGGGCUGUUUGUAUGAAGAUCCACUAAACUAUUUAUGUUGUUGGGAAGGAUUGAAGGGAGUUCUGUGAGAGCGUUGUGCUGUUGCAG
rnacentral:lncRNA from 1 species